rnacentral:rRNA from 1 species
CCGAGUCUUAACCGGGCGUUAAGUUGCAGGGUAUAGACCCGAAACCCGGUGAUCUAGCCAUGGGCAGGUUGAAGGUUGGGUAACACUAACUGGAGGACCGAACCGACUAAUGUUGAAAAAUUAGCGGAUGACCUGUGGCUGGGGGUGAAAGGCCAAUCAAACCGGGAGAUAGCUGGUUCUCCCCGAAAGCUAUUUAGGUAGCGCCUCGUGAACUCAUCUCCGGGGGUAGAGCACUGUUUCGGCUAGGGGGCCAUCCCGGCUUACCAACCCGAUGCAAACUGCGAAUACCGGAGAAUGUUAUCACGGGAGACACACGGCGGGUGCUAACGUCCGUCGUGAAGAGGGAAACAACCCAGACCGCCAGCUAAGGUCCCAAAGUCAUGGUUAAGUGGGAAACGAUGUGGGAAGGCCCAGACAGCCAGGAUGUUGGCUUAGAAGCAGCCAUCAUUUAAAGAAAGCGUAAUAGCUCACUGGUCGAGUCGGCCUGCGCGGAAGAUGUAACGGGGCUAAACCAUGCACCGAAGCUGCGGCAGCGACGCUGAUGCGUUGUUGGGUAGGGGAGCGUUCUGUAAGCCUGCGAAGGUGGCCUGUGAGGGUUGCUGGAGGUAUCAGAAGUGCGAAUGCUGACAUAAGUAACGAUAAAGCGGGUGAAAAGCCCGCUCGCCGGAAGACCAAGGGUUCCUGUCCAACGUUAAUCGGGGCAGGGUGAGUCGACCCCUAAGGCGAGGCCGAAAGGCGUAGUCGAUGGGAAACGGGUUAAUAUUCCCGUACUUGGUGUUACUGCGAAGGGGGGACGGAGAAGGCUAUGUUGGCCGGGCGACGGUUGUCCCGGUUUAAGCGUGUAGGUGUGUGUUCCAGGUAAAUCCGGUUCACUUUAACACUGAGGCGUGAUGACGAGGCACUACGGUGCUGAAGCAACAAAUGCCCUGCUUCCAGGAAAAGCCUCUAAGCAUCAGGUAACAUCAAAUCGUACCCCAAACCGACACAGGUGGUCAGGUAGAGAAUACCAAGGCGCUUGAGAGAACUCGGGUGAAGGAACUAGGCAAAAUGGUGCCGUAACUUCGGGAGAAGGCACGCUGACACGUAGGUGAAGUGAUUUACUCAUGGAGCUGAAGUCAGUCGAAGAUACCAGCUGGCUGCAACUGUUUAUUAAAAACACAGCACUGUGCAAACACGAAAGUGGACGUAUACGGUGUGACGCCUGCCCGGUGCCGGAAGGUUAAUUGAUGGGGUCAGCGCAAGCGAAGCUCCUGAUCGAAGCCCCGGUAAACGGCGGCCGUAACUAUAACGGUCCUAAGGUAGCGAAAUUCCUUGUCGGGUAAGUUCCGACCUGCACGAAUGGCGUAAUGAUGGCCAGGCUGUCUCCACCCGAGACUCAGUGAAAUUGAACUCGCUGUGAAGAUGCAGUGUACCCGCGGCAAGACGGAAAGACCCCGUGAACCUUUACUAUAGCUUGACACUGAACAUUGAGCCUUGAUGUGUAGGAUAGGUGGGAGGCUUUGAAGUGUGG